rnacentral:ncRNA from 1 species
GCAGAGUAAGGGUCUGCGCGUUAAGUGCCGUUCCGACGGGGAGUUGCGGGCGGACGAAAAAGGCGUUUUGCCUUUGCGGUGCUGACCUUGAAUCCCGCUGC